GUUUGCAGCCAUCUGCACACACAAACAAGGACGCCGUUACCAAAGUCACCGGAACCACCUUUCCCAUGGCCACCUGGUGACAGGAUGAGGAUGCUGGUCCUCGGCCACAUCAAACUCAUCCUACCCCUGGUUAUUGGGGUCGUUCUCAGGAUCCAACGCCCCCUCUACUGCCCCCUAAAGGACGGGAGGGCACGGAGAGCAAGAGAUAAUUUCCGUGUGUAUACACGUGUGUGAGCGAGCCAGGUUUAAGGUGGAGCAGGAGGUAGACCUGACGCAAACUCUAAAGGAUCUGGGCAUCAAGAAAAUAUUCACAGACUUUGCUGAUUUGUCUGCAAUGACCACAGGACUAGUAUUCCAAGCCACGGCUAUACGCUUCCCUCCAGUGACGCGUCCUACCUUCAAGGCUGAUCACCCCUUCUUCUUUGUCAUUAGAAACCAGAGGAUAGGUUCUACCCUUUUCAUGGGAAGGGUCAUGACACCAGAGGUGGUCAGACCUUGAGACCACGGAACCUGAACUAUUACCAAUGGGAUUCCAGUGGCAUUGAUGACAUGCUUAACACCAUUGACAUCCAGCCAAAAACUAUGCAAUAAAUGCAACUUCUCUUUU